UGUUAAAUGUCAUUUUAUCUCUUACAUUACAGGUCACGAUGUUGAUAAAAGUGCAAUUUGAAGGCAAGAAGAAGUAUAUUAAACUGGAAGAAGUCUCUUUCUUGGAUUUUCACAGUGCAGUCCAGCAGAAGUUUCUUAUAGCAGAGGAUACAACAUUGAAAGUCACAGAUGACCAUGGCAUAGAAGUGGAUGAGGAUGUAUUUCCAGAACUUGCGACAAACAAAGAAAUGUGUUUUAUCAUCCACACUGAUGAUGAUCUGACUGUUCUGCAGCAAGGGGUUGUUGAAGUACCCUCCUCCCCAAGUUUGACCGAUACGUUGUCUGUGUCAAGCAGUUUAAGCAGCAGUGAUUCUGGAUCUCAAAUAAUUCAACCUUUAUUGGACAGUGUCCA
rnacentral:lncRNA from 8 species